UAUUGAGCUGUAUUACAUAUUUGCAAGUGUUUGGGGUCACAGGAUAUACACAAUAUAUAGCAUUCUUUUUGUUGUAUUUAUCCUUCUCCUGAUUACAACUGCCCUUGUCUCAGUUGCUAUGACGUACUUCCAACUUGCCGCGGAAGAUCGUGAAUGGUGGUAGAGGUACUGCAUUUCUCAUCUUGUUGCUAUGACGUACUUCCAACUUGCUGCAGAAGAUCAUGCAUGGUGGUGGAGGUACUGCCUUUCUCAUCUUACUACUAUGAUGCUUUUCUUCCAGAAUAUUGCCUUCUUUUCAUAAGAUGUGAAUAUCGUGAUUAUUAGAGCAUAAGUUAACUAUCAGCUACUUUACUGCUUUGACCAGUUCUUUAGUUAGUAGUUAGGAUUUUGUUAGUCCUUUAUUUUCUCAAAUAAAUCUCCUUAUCAAGGAGUUUAUUUAGCAAGUAGUUUAGCCCUCCUCUUCCAGAUGAGUUAGUUUAGGGAAUUGGUUUUUCACUCUUGUAUUUAAAGGUUGCUUUGAUUCAAUAAGCAUAUCAGCUUUUUGUGCUUCUCUUGUUCUUAUAUAAUAUCAGAGCCUCAACAAACUCUAACGGGUAACAUCCUCUCUUUU
rnacentral:lncRNA from 1 species